AUGCUACAUUUCUCCAAAUCUCUUCCCAAGAAAAAACUCAUCUACAUCUUGGAUGGCCUGAGGGGAAGCAGAUUGCAGACGAGCAGUAUCCUUCUACACGGACCCGUUUCCACAAACUCCGUGAGGAACCAAGGAAUGGAAAUGGAAAGAGAAGUUUGGGGAGCUCCUUUCAUCGACUGUGACUCCAGAUGUGCCGUGGCUCCAGUGUGGCUGACAUAUACAGUAAAUCAGCAUCUGAGGGCUCGUCAAUCCGCGGGGCACUGAUCGAGCGCGCCCCGCCUCCUCCUCACCGCCGAUGCGGGAACCUUGGACGAUGGAGAUCCCGAGAGGGUCUGUGGACGGCGCUGACGAUCAACAACUAGAAGCCAAGGAACAUUUUCAGAAAGAGUCCGAGGGGAUAACCGUGCACCACAAAGCAGCAGAAAUCACUCACAAAAGUACCAUGGUUUAUCGUGGUAUUUGUGUUAGUGCAAUCAUUCAUAAAAUGUGAUAAAGUGGUAGCAUGGUAUAAACAGGUAUUCCAUGAUGCUUAAGUUACAGAUUAUAUUAAUGCACUAUUACAUGUAAUACAAAAAAGUAAGCUAAUUCUGAUACUUUUUAGCAUGGAACCACACCGAGAAAAAAAAAAUGUUUCAUUCAUCCAAUUAAAAAAAAAAUUGGGUAAUGAUUCACAUCUGUAUUUUUUAACUUGAGCCAAUAAAAAAUAAAUAACUUGCCCUUACA
ensembl:lncRNA